CAGAGGCUGCGUGUCCAGACCCGGACACAGUGCAUGGUGAGGCGGUCAGAGCGGUGCGAUCUGCUCGCUGGGGCUGCCUGUCUGCGUGGGUGCUGUGGGACUACGUGCAGCUGCUGCAACAAUCCGGAUCCAAUGACACGACCACACGACCAUCCUAUGCCUCAUCAAGGGACGAGAUGAGAUAGCGAACAGAGAGGUGGUCAACAGCACACUGGACUACGGAGGGGAGAACCACCUCAUCCUCAACGUAGGAAAGACAAGGGAACUUAUCGACUUUCACAAGAAGGCCCCACCUCUACAUCCUCUCACCAUCAGUAGGACAGAAGUGGAGAGAGUGGACAGCCACAAGUUCCUAUGCCUUCACAUAUCAUCAGACUUCAGCAGGUCAGUGAAUACUGCAGUCAUGGUGAGAAGAACACAAAAGAGACUACACUUCAUCAGACUGCUCAGGAAGGCUGGAUUCCUCACGCUGGCCUACUGGGGACUGGUGGACAGCAUCCUUACAACUACCAUCGCUAUGGUACGGCAACAGUACACAAGCAGACAGGAACGCCCUCCAGACAGUUAAAAAAUAUCCUCAGGACUGACCUUCCAUCCACAGACUCACAGCAUCAAGUAUUCAUUCCAUCCUGCCCACUUUCUCUUUAAACACAAACACACAAUAUUAUUUAAGGAGAAGUCGAGCAGACAACAUUAUCACACAGAAGAACACGUUUUAUAACCGCUUCCUCCCUGCCACAGUCGGACUGAUGGCAAACCUGAACUCUGCAGAGUACACUCUAAACAACAUGAACACACGUGGACAAUAAUUCUAUUUUUAAAGCAUGUUUAUAUUUUAGGUUCAAUAUACACUUGCUGCUACAUUUUCCUAGUGCAGUAUACAGUGCUGCAAAUUCUGAUCACAUCUUCAUAUAUGUGUACACCCAUUGUAAACAUACUUAUUGUUAAAUAUAUAUACCUCUUCUAUGUAGCCUUAUUGUAGAUAUGGAGCUUAAAGUAUUUUUAUAGCUCGUUAAAACAGAUGGCAAAUAAAGAUUAUCUGACAUUUCACUGUUUGUCACAAGAAUAAAAACACAAUUGCAAAAACCA